GGCGGGGCCAUCAGGGACUGGCGGUAGAUGUGGGUGCGACCUGGAGGAGACUGCUGAUCUAAAAUUUAAAACCGUAUUUUCAGAUUCCCACCUGCGCUCUGCUCACCCAAGGGCUUAUUCCUUGGUCAGAGUGUCGUUCCCGGGUCUCUCAGCAUCUCACCCCAUUGUGGCCAGAAUCCUAGAAUUUCAGAAGCAUGAGACGUGAGCACAGACCAACAGCAUCUGCAGAGAUGACCGAGAUGAUAGCCCAGGCUUUGGAGGACACAGCUCUGCCUUCUUCGUCCUGUCUUUUCUAGUUUUGAGCCCUCUAAGUCCUUCCUCCAUGAAUAGGAAUAAUAAAUGGCACUUGCCUUAAGGUU